rnacentral:rRNA from 1 species
GACGAACGCUGGCGGCGUGCUUAACACAUGCAAGUCGAACGGAAAGGCCCUGCUUUUGUGGGGUGCUCGAGUGGCGAACGGGUGAGUAAAACGUGAGUAACCUGCCCUUAACUUUGGGAUAACUUCAGGAAACUGGGGCUAUUACCGGAGAGGAGCUCCUGCUGCAUGGUGGGGGUUGGAAAGUUUCGGCGGUUGGGGAUGGACUCGCGGCUUAUCAGCUUGUUGGGGGGGUAGUGGCUUACCAAGGCUUUGACGGGUAGCCGGCCUGAGAGGGUGACCGGCCACAUUGGGACUGAGAUACGGCGCAGACUCCUACGGGAGGCAGCAGUGGGGAAUCUUGCACAAUGGGCGGAAGCCUGAUGCAGCAACGCCGCGUGCGGGAUGACGGCCUUCGGGUUGUAAACCGCUUUCGCCUGUGACGAAGCGUGAGUGACGGUAAUGGGUAAAGAAGCACCGGCUAACUACGUG